CCUACGGGGCGCAGCAGUGGGGAAUAUUGGACAAUGGGCGAAAGCCUGAUCCAGCCAUGCCGCGUGUGUGAAGAAGGCCUUCGGGUUGUAAAGCACUUUCAGUGGGGAAGAAAGCCUUGGGGCUAAUACCCUCGAGGAAGGACAUCACCCACAGAAGAAGCACCGGCUAACUCCGUGCCAGCAGCCGCGGUAAUACGGAGGGUGCGAGCGUUAAUCGGAAUUACUGGGCGUAAAGCGCGCGUAGGCGGUCUGAUAAGCCGGUUGUGAAAGCCCCGGGCUCAACCUGGGAACGGCAUCCGGAACUGUCAGGCUAGAGUGCAGGAGAGGAAGGUAGAAUUCCCGGUGUAGCGGUGAAAUGCGUAGAGAUCGGGAGGAAUACCAGUGGCGAAGGCGGCCUUCUGGACUGACACUGACGCUGAGGUGCGAAAGCGUGGGUAGCAAACAGGACUAGAUACCCCUGUAGUC
rnacentral:rRNA from 1 species